AUCAUCCAUAUAUAUAUCUAUUUAUUUCCCUGUCCAAUUCUCCAUAGCUUGUUUAGUUUUCUCCGUCCACCUAAGAGUCAAGAGUCUCUCCAUCGCUUCUCAAUGGAAAACAUCCAGCAUAAGCAUGUAGAAGUAAGAGGACUGAAGCUUCAUGUAGCUGAAAUCGGAAGCGGACCAAAGGCCGUGGUUUUCCUCCAUGGAUUUCCAGAAAUAUGGUACACUUGGAGGCAUCAACUGGUUUCUGUGGCAAGCAAAGGCUACAGGGCAAUAGCCAUUGAUUUCAGGGGCUAUGGUCUUUCAGAGCAGCCAGCUGAACCUGAGAAUGACACCUUCAUCGACCUUGUCCACGAUGUGGUUGCCUUUUGGAUUCUUUGGCCAUUGAUAAGGCUUUUCUUGUUGGGAAAGAUUUUGGAGCUUUGCCUGCAUACCUAGUAGCUGCUCUCCACCCAGAGCGGGUAUCCGGCGUCAUAACCCUAGGUAUUCCUUUCAUGCUACCAGGCCCCUCUGCUGUCCAAAACCAUCUCCUCCCUGAAGGCUUCUACAUAUCAAGGUGGCAGGAGCCGGUGGGGCGCGCAGAGGCAGAUUUUGGCCGCUUUGAUGUUAAGACUGUGAUAAGGAACAUCUACAUUCUGUUCUCUAGAAGUGAGAUUCCAAUAGCUGCUGCUGAUCAAGAAAUCAUGGAUUUGUUUGACCCUGCAACUCCUCUACCACCAUGGUUUUCUGAGGAAGAUCUCUCAGUCUAUGCAUCUUUGUAUGAGAAAUCCGGAUUCCAUUAUCCUUUGCGAGUUCCCUACAGAACUUUGAAAGUAGAUUGCGGUUUAACUGAUCCAAAAGUCUCAGCUCCAUCACUGCUUAUCGUGGGUGAGAAGGACUACGUCUUAAAAUUUCCGGGGAUCGAAGACUACAUACGGACUGGGGCAGUGAAGCAUUUCGUGCCUGAUCUGGAAAUUACAUAUAUGGCAGAAGGAAAUCAUUUUGUGCAUGAACAGUUUCCAGAGCAAGUCAAUCAGCUAAUCGUCUCCUUCCUUGACAAACAUGGCAUCUGAUGUAGAUGCGCAAUGUGCAAGGGAAACAAUAAAUAAUCCAUGAGAGAAACAAUAAUGUACUGUUUAACUGGCUGGGUGUUGCAUUACAUAUUUACCGCACAAAUUUGACGUGCUUAACUAUUUUGCUAUAAUAAAUUACAUGACGUAUGCUUUUCA